AAACAUUAAUUGAUACUCAUCAAGCUUAAUUUCGACUUAAGUUUAGGUUACUUACAUACCAGUGUUUU
rnacentral:tRNA from 1 species